ensembl:lncRNA
CCAGCUGCAAGUACUUUUCCGUUUGCUACUGAGGAGAAACCCAACUGCCACGAAGGAUUUAUCAUCGAAUAGAUAUGUGAAAAACACCUUGAGGAUGAUUCUAAACAACGUUUGGCAUGUUUCUGUCGAUAUUAUGGAGUUCAUUUGGAAAAAAGUUUGGCGUUGUAGUGAAUUAAUUUUCGUUUUUUUUCUUAGCCAAAAGUGAUGAACAAAACGGAGCGAUUUCUACUACACAAAUAAUAUUUUUGGAAAAAAUGAACAUUUGCUAUCUAACUGAGAGUCUCCUCAUUGAAAACAUCCGAAGUUCUUCAAAGCUCCUUUGUCAGAAACAGCUUGAAUCACUCUGCCUCAGAGGGAAAUGGGAAGGGAAUUUGCACUCCAGACUGGGACUCAUCAAUGCAAACAGCAGGGCCAGGAGGGGUGAAAUGGCUGGUGGCCUUCCAGCUACCACAAACCUCCUGUACUUCAUCCACUGUGGGUCUGCCUCCAUCACCAACAGCAUCCUCAAAGGGACCUGGGAAUUCGUCAGUAGGCAAGGGGUCCUCAGAUUCAGGGUUAUCAAUGGUUGGGGGGCAGCUUCUCACUGUCACUGUCAGAGUCUGAUUACUGACCUUCAUUCUGUUCGAAUUUACAAAAACCUCCAUAAUUUCCACAUUCCUGAGUUGUCUCCUUUUGAAAGACAUUGCUAAUGCUACAGCUUAGCUCAGUAGCUACGUACAUAAACAACAACACUGAAUGGCUCAGAGUGGGAGUGAGAGGUUACGUGAUUGACUGCCGACACGCGCCAUUUAUAUCAAUAAAUCACUAUCAGAAAAUGGUUUGUGUGGUAAUUAUGUAUUUAUUUACUGUUUUAAUUACAUUUUCAAGUACUGGUGACAAAUCAUGCAUUCCUAUUCUUGCAUAGAUUGUAAUGGACAAAUAUUAUGUGUGUAAAUUCCUUUUUUUGAAGGUUGUACUGGCUAUGAUGAGCUAAUGCUAUGCUAAUUGCCAGCUAUGUGUGGAGCCAUGUUUGAAGACAAUAUACAAUGCAUUCUGGGUGUCACGUAAAUGUUUGUCAAACCAAAGAUGUUAUAACAAAAUGAUAUGAAGGGAUGGUUCACUCAUCUUUGGAGUAAACUUCCGGAAGUGAAUAAUGGUAGAUGACACACCCCCUUCAACAUGUAUACUGCAAACAGAUCAAACCCAUCUUGUCUCCUCUUCUUAUCUUUGUUUGAUGCGAAAAAACAAACAUGGCAGCACACACAAAUACCCACCGUCGGAUUACUUUAUGGUGAGCUCACCUUUGAUGGGAUGAAUUAUAAAUAGUAAUUGCUAUUAGCUAAUUCAUAUUGUGGUUUCUGUCAAUCUUUCCUCAGUUAAUGCUAGGACUACUGUAGCCUACAUUUUCCAGUUUGGAUGACCGUGUUAAUUUGUUGCUACUUCUGUGAAUGUCUGAACAUUGUGGCGGGCACUUGGGUUCCCUUUCUAAAGUGGCUUCGCUUUAUAUAGGGAGGAUGAAUUCAAAUAGGAGCUGAUGCAGAUUUAGGAAAUGUAUGCCUUUUUAACACUUUUUGAUUUAAACACUCAUUAUUUGGUGUUUACUUACCCUAUAAACUUGUGUAACGAGGUUUGCAGGUGGGGCUUCCUUGUGUGCACCGAAUAAAUCUAAUUCAAUCCCAGAAAACACUUCCCUGG